CCUUGCGGCCCAUUUGUUUCUCUUAUACCUGUCGUGGUUCGUUUCGCUGCCCUCACCCUCCCCACCCCUUCCCCGCACACAGUCUCAUUGACAGAUACGCUCUAUGCCAACCCUAAUUUAUUGCGAUCCUCAUUUUCACGCGCUCCUUCUCCUUCUGAUGUACUAGUCUCCAUCUCCCUACUCGGAGAAGACGUAGCAGUUUUUCACUCUCCGCGUUGGCUCCGUAAUUUUCUGGUUCAACGGGGUCUCCGAGUAGAUGAUCAUCCGGGCCUCGUAACCGUCACCUAGGCAGGGUCUCUGAGUCGACGAUCAUCCGGACCUUGUAGCCGCCUCCGAGUAUCAGGCCGUGGUUCCCCCUACGUCUUUGAUCAGCGGACUCUUUUUCGUGCGUAUAUUUCUUCAGCUUUGUCUUAGAUUCCUCUUGUCUCCUCUUUUGUGUUUUUAGGUACUUCGUUGUCUAUCGUUCAAUUAUUGUGAUUCAGACAGGAUCUCCAGGUCCACGGUCAUCAAGGCCUUGCAGCCGUCUCCUCCGAGAUUUAGAUUGUGGUUGGGAAAAUGGUAUAUGUGCAAGGAAACUCUGUUCCCCACAGGAACCUUGAAGUUCUUGAUAAGCUGUUCUCUGCCCCCUAUGAGCUGGCUCAGUUUAGAUAUGAACACAUAUAUAAUUCGUUAUCCUUCCAUAAAUAUGAUGAUCAUGCAUUCUGGUUCUAUGUUAUCAUUGUUUGACUGAAAGGUUUAAUUUAAGGCUAGAGUUAUUUAGUUUAGGGGUGAACGGCAAAUAAGGCAUGCAAAAUGAUAUGUUGCUCAAGACACUAUGAGAUUUCUCUACUCUAGAAAUUUUCCUAGAUCAGCAAGCAAAGACUUUUCUUUUAAACUUCUUUUUUCAAGAUGUGGCAGCUUGACAAAGAACCUCUAUAUUUUCUUGGGUUGCACUAUUUCUCUACUCUUUAAUAAAAUGAAGAAAAUUAGUUCUUUUGUAUUGGAAAAACUUACAAGUAGAAUUUAUCGUAGAAUAUUUUUAAUUUUUUGUGACUGAAUAAAAAAUGCAAUUUGAAAUCAUUGUAAAUCAUCAAAAUAUAGUAAUUUACUCUUUAACUAUUUUUUGAAACCACUCGCUAUUUUAACCUUUUUUAUUCGCAAUCACAUACCAUCAUCAUCAUUUCUGAUCAAAAGUCAGAAUCUCAAUCAAUUCCAUAAACUCUCUCAUGUUAUCACCCUUAACUAUGUCUUUUUGGGUCCCUCCUCUUCUCCUUGUCCCUCCUCUUCUCUUUAGAGUAUCUAAUACUUGAAUAUUUUCAACUCUACGCAAUACCUAAUUCAUUUUUCUACAUGCCCAAACUGUCUUAGCCAAGUUUCUUGCUUAUUAUGUUCAUACUGCUGUCCCAACAUUCAGUGUCGUGCAUUAUUCCAAACCUAUUGAAUUUUCAUAAUCAAACCUCAAGGCCAUUCUUCCAUCGCACACGUCCAAUGUACCUUUUCCUUCCUCUGUGAAUAUCAAACUAAAAUAUUACGAUUCCUAGUUUUAAGUAUUUCUUUCCUGUCAUUUAAUUGCUUCCUCAUCUCUCCUACCUUUACUAAACUUUGCUUCGUAUAUUCUAUCGUAGUCCUACUUAUCUUAAAAUCUUUGGAUUCCAAAUCUCCUCUCCAUGUUUUGAAUUUCAAAUUUACUGUUGAUAUGGUCUCCUCCAUUAAGACGUUGCCGUUCACAAACAUGCACCAAGGUACUUUGUUUUAAAGAGAUCUUGUUUGUAUUUGUAAUCACCUAUGCUUUUUAGAAUUUAUGGCCACCCACUCUCUUGUAACCACUUGUGGUAUUGCCGUAUUGGUCAGGGGACAAAAUCUUAGCUUUAGGUUUAGGUAGAGCAGGGAUAUGUUCUAUUUUUCAGUAAAGUAGUUUGGAAAAAUGUGUUUAUCCAGGAAAGCCAUGAGCUACCUAUGAGCCAAGAUACUACAUCUAGAGUUUGUCCAGUGUAUGAGCAAAGUAGUCUCUAGUGAAUGCAGUAGCCUGUAACCCCCUUGUGUUCUUGUAAUCCUUUGCUAGAUAUUAUAAAGUGCUUACAUUCCGUGAAUGCAAUUUGUUACUAAUUUAAUGCAAAUGGCUAGUUACCAUAUGCCUAGAUACUUUUGUGAGUGGUUUUCUGUAGAAUCACAGAUUAUGAAUAACUACUAUUUAAUUUUACUUGUCUAUUUUGGGUUUUCUAGAAAUAAUCGUAGUGUGAUAACAACGUUUACUUGAGUUUUGGGGUUGAUGUUAAUAUUUAUGAACUCGUGCUGAAGUAUCUUGAACUUUGAG